rnacentral:tRNA from 1 species
UGGGGAGUCGCCAAGUGGUAAGGCACAUGGUUUUGGUCCAUGCAUUCGGGGGUUCGAUCCCCUCCUCCCCAGCCA